rnacentral:rRNA from 1 species
AGGACGAACGCUGGCGGCGUGCUUAACACAUGCAAGUCACGGGGGCCCGCAAGGGUAACCGGCGAACGGGUGCGUAACACGUGAGCAACCUGCCGAUUUGUGGGGGAUAGCCGGGCUAACGCCCGGGUAAUACCGCAUACGGUUUCGAAGAGGAGUCUCUUUGAAACGAAACCUCCGGGGCAAAUCGAGGGGCUCGCGGCCUAUCAGCUAGUUGGUGUAGGUAAUGGCUCACCAAGGCGACGACGGGUAGCU